CUCAGGGUUAGCGGUUGAACCCCUAGCGCUUCCGGUCCAGAGUCCUUAGGGAAGACGUGGUCUGAGAAUGGAACUGGGCCAGAUGAACCCACACAGGGGCCCCCUUCAUGUUUAAAGUUGAUGGAGUGCCCCUUUAAGAUGUCAUAAGUGUCAGAUGGCGCUCAACUGCGAUCAGUAAAUCAGCACGAGAGAGGAAACUCAACCAGCCUGCACUGCACAUUACUACAGUGGAUGGAUGAAUGAAAGCCUUAUUGCCACAAGAGCAAUUUGCCAUGCAUAAGAUGCCUGCAGCAACAAUAUGACCACUGUAUCACCGGAUUCUCUCAGACGUAAGGGAGACAUGCCCCAAAACAUAUGCAGGGAGAGGAAAUUCACUGAAUCACCCACUAACAUCCAUUCAUUACACUGUCAGUAAACCAAAACAGACUUUUGCCAAGAAAGCCACAUAUUGACAGUAUUUGUCAUUUAGGAGCAGCUUGAAGAUGCCACAUUUCUCACCCUUUAACACUAUUAACAAAAUUAGUUUGACAAAGUUUGAUGUGAUUUCUCUAUGCUGUUUAUGUUUUUCUGCUUUUUGGUGUAUUGUGUGUUUUUCUGGUCCAUGGUCAUGCUCUCUACAAACUAAAUUUCCCGUAUCCAACAACAAAGUAUUCAACUGAAUUCAACUGAGAUACAUGGGAUCUUGCAUUUGAUUGACCUCUGACCCCAUAAGGUAGAUACUACUAGAUGCUGUCAAAUCUAUCAUAUACCAUCUUAGGUUUUUGUAGUGUGCAUUAGAGGUUGAUGAUCUGUCAGAGGGUCAGUACUGUGCAGCAGCAUCAUUACCGGUAUAUUUUCACCAAAUGUCUGAAUGUAAAGGUGUCAGUAUCCAAAUGCA